UAUGACACUGAAGCGUUACCGAA
rnacentral:miRNA from 1 species